rnacentral:pre_miRNA from 1 species
AUACUACUCCCUCCUUCCUAAUUUACUUGUCUUAGAUUUGUCUAGAUAUGGAUGUGUAUCUAGACAUGUUUUAGUGUUAGAUACAUCUGUAUCUAGAUAAAUCUAAGACAAGUAGUUUGGGACAGAGGGAGUAUAUU